rnacentral:rRNA from 1 species
AACGGCGAGUGAAGCGGGAAGAGCUCAAAUUUGAAAUCUUCAAGGUUCUACCUUGACGAAUUGUAGUUUAAAGAAGUGUUUUCUGUUAGAUGAGUAGCAAAAGUUCCUUGGAAUGGGACAUCAUAGAGGGUGAGAAUCCCGUAUUUGGUUAUUCAUUCUAGCUUUGUGAUACACUUUCAAAGAGUCGGAUUGUUUGGGAAUGCAGUCCAAAAUGGGUGGUAAAUUUCAUCUAAAGCUAAAUAUUGGCGAGAGACCGAUAGCGAACAAGUACCGUGAGGGAAAGAUGAAAAGAACUUUGAAAAGAGAGUUAAACAGUACGUGAAAUUGUCAAAAGGGAAGCGUUUGACACCAGUGUUGUUUUUCCGAAAAUCAAUUACGAAUGGCUUGAUUUUGUGUUGUAUUGACCUUAUCAGCUUUCUGCACUUUUUUCGAGUCUUUCUUAAUGCACUUUUCGGUUAACAAGUCAACAUCAAUUUCUUUUGUUGUAAAAGAGUAUUCGGAAGGUGGCUUUCUUUUCGGAGAAAGUGUUUAUAGCCCUAUACUUCUACAAUCGGAGAGAUUGAGGUCUGCAGCGUAGAUCCUUCGGGGUUAGAUACAUUUGUGCUAAGUUGUAGCUUUUCAUAGACAACUUGUUGACUAUGUUUAGUCAUGCGGCUUACUCGCUUGUGCUAUUUUACCUAC